AACCCAGGUUGAGGAUAUUUCUGCAAGAGCUCCUUGAACCUAUCACAUGUCUCAAAUAGAGACUCCAAUUCCAUUUGCAUAAAAGAGAUUAUUUUAUUCCUAAGCUU